AUUGAACGCUGGCGGAAUGCUUUACACAUGCAAGUCGAACGGCAGCACGGACUUCGGUCUGGUGGCGAGUGGCGAACGGGUGAGUAAUAUAUCGGAACGUGCCCAGUCGUGGGGGAUAACGUAGUGAAAAUUACGCUAAUACCGCAUACGAUCUACGGAUGAAAGCGGGGGAUCGCAAGACCUCGCGCGAUUGGAGCGGCCGAUAUCAGAUUAGGUAGUUGGUGAGGUAAAGGCUCACCAAGCCAACGAUCUGUAGCUGGUCGGAGCGGACGACCAGCACAACUGGGACUGUGACAGGGCCCACACACCUACGGGAGGCAGCAGUGGGGAAUUUUGUAAAAUGGACGCAAGGCUGAUUCAGCCAUUCCGCGUGCAGGACGAAGGCCUUCGGGUUGUAAACUGCUUUUGUACAGAACGAAAAGGUCUUUAUUAAUACUAGGGGCUCAUGACGGUACUGUAAGAAUAAGCACCGGCUAACUACGUGCCAGCAGCCGCCGUAACAC
rnacentral:rRNA from 1 species